rnacentral:rRNA from 1 species
AAUCGCUAGUAAUCGCGGAUCAGCAUGCCGCGGUGAAUACGUUCCCGGGCCUUGUACACACCGCCCGUCACACCAUGAGAGUUUGUAACACCCAAAGCCGGUGGGGUAACCUUUUGGAGCCAGCCGUCUAAGGUGGGACAGAUGAUUGGGGUGAAGUCGUAACAAGGUAAC